AGAUGGAACCUUCUAGUGUUGAAAAUAACGAAGACCUGCGGUACCCGGGAUUAACCAUAUUCGAUUUUUUCGAGGCCCAAGAUGACAGAGGUCUGGAAAUAUAUGGAUUUUAGUAAUUCGUCGGCAGACCGGUUACAAAUUCUUUCGUCUAUCGAGAAGUUACUAGAUAUAAAAAGUCGAGUUAAUCUUACUUAUUCGUUGGCAAGCUGGUCGCAAAUUCUUCGCCUUUGUCUACCAAACAAAACCAAACUUAGAAAAUCAAGUUUAAUUUUAGUCGUUUGGUGAUAGCCAGUGGCGAAUUUCACCACGAUUUACCAAAACGAAUCUAAACCUAGAGAAUCGUCGUGACGAUGAAACCACCGAAUGUUCCUUCCGUUCCUCUCCAACUGCCAUGUAAAGUCAAAGUAUGGGCCUAGCGGCUGUUUCCCUCGAAGACGAUCGGAAAUUUCAGUAGCACGAGAAGUCGCUCGUCAAACGGGGUGCAAAGUUUCGGCGAAGAGUGGCGUCGACAAACGAAAGGCCGGGGCUUAAUCAGAGUCUUCUCCACUUAGACGCCCCGUGGCAAAACUCAAUUUUGAGUCGGCGCCUGCCGACGCUCAAUUUUGACACCCUUCGUAGCCACCAAGCAAGCCAAGACUGAGUGGAGCAAGCUUGCCUUCGCGACAUCGGCAAAGGGGAUGAUGCAGGGUUGUAAACUUAGUUAUCCGGUUGGAGCUGGAGACGAGCUACGAGGUGGAUGCUGUACUAUGUGCCAUGCCGGCAGGUAGCAGAUCUGGACGGAGGUUCUAUCGGCAGACACUUACCGGACAACUUGAAUCCCAGAGGAUCCUGAGGGUGGCCGAAAGGGAACGGCCUGGGCCCGAAGUGGAAGGGAUGAAAGGCCUGGUGUCCUGAAACGCAACGUGAAUUCGUGUGGUAUAUUAUAACACUUCACAACAGCGUUUGAACAUCCUGCGAUGUAAAUUGUCCACUUGUUAGCUGAGCUCUUUAUUAAUCAUUUCUACAAUUUGUUAACAUUUUUAGUUGACCAGUGACUUUCAUUCUUUGUAUUCUCUUCGUACAUUAUUACUGUUCUCAAUAUCUCUAUCAAAUUUGAUAUUUUUACGAUGUAAGCUAUUCGAUAAUUAUUACUUGAGCUUUCUAUGAGUUUACUACAAUUUAUUACGACUAUUGUAUAAUUAGUUAUCAGUAUUUGUUUAUCCAGUGAUUUGAGCCGUACUAUACUAGUUGAAGUUGGGAAGUAUUAGCUAAAGAAAUUGUAAGGCAACGAAUUAAGGUUUGGUGGAGUUUUAGUAAAUAUCAGUAAUUUUGGAAGAAGAUUUCUAUUUUUUUCUUUUUCUCCUUUUUAGAAAUUUUGCGUCCAAAAAUGAAUGGCGUUAAAAAGAAAUACAACUAUUAGGUAUGCGCAGUAAUAGAAAAAAGGAGGAUAGUUUGUUAGUUGGUGAAUUAAUUGUCACUUGCAUUAUCACAUUACUUGCAUCUAAUUAAGUGCAGAUUUCCAUCCAAGUAAAUUCAUAUUUAUCUACUUAAGAGAAUAAAAGUAUUCGAAAAUGUAAUUAAAUUUUGUUGAAAGAGUUAGCUUUUUUAAAUUUGUACUUCGUAAUAAUCCAGUCCAAAUUUUCAAAAAUAUAAGCAGGUGAUUAAACGUUUA